rnacentral:rRNA from 1 species
GGGUGAGUAACGCGUGAGGAACCUGCCUCAAAGAGGGGGACAACAGUUGGAAACGACUGCUAAUACCGCAUAAGCCCACGGCUCGGCAUCGAGCAGAGGGAAAAGGAGCAAUCCGCUUUGAGAUGGCCUCGCGUCCGAUUAGCUAGUUGGUGAGGUAACGGCCCACCAAGGCAACGAUCGGUAGCCGGACUGAGAGGUUGAACGGCCACAUUGGGACUGAGACACGGCCCAGACUCCUACGGGAGGCAGCAGUGGGGAAUAUUGCACAAUGGGGGAAACCCUGAUGCAGCGACGCCGCGUGGAGGAAGAAGGUCUUCGGAUUGUAAACUCCUGUUGUUGAGGAAGAUAAUGACGGUACUCAACAAGGAAGUGACGGCUAACUACGUGCCAGCAGCCGCGGUAAAACGAGGUCACAAGCGUUGUCCGGAAUUACUGGGUGUAAAGGGAGCGCAGGCGGGCGAUCAAGUUGGAAGUGAAAUCCAUGGGCUCAACCCAUGAACUGCUUUCAAAACUGAUUGUCUUGAGUAGUGCAGAGGUAGGCGGAAUUCCCGGUGUAGCGGCGGAAUGCGUAGAUAUCGAGAGGAACACCAGUGGCGAAGGCGGCCUACUGGGCACCAACUGACGCUGAGGCUCGAAAGUGUGGGUAGCAAACAGGAUUAGAUACCCUGGUAGUCCACACCGUAAACGAUGAUUACUAGGUGUUGGAGGAUUGACCCCUUCAGUGCCGCAGUUAACACAAUAAGUAAUCCACCUGGGGAGUACGACCGCAAGGUUGAAACUCAAAGGAAUUGACGGGGGCCCGCACAAGCAGUGGAGUAUGUGGUUUAAUUCGACGCAACGCGAAGAACCUUACCAAGUCUUGACAUCCUGCGACGGACAUAGAAAUAUGUUUUUCCUUCGGGACGCAGAGACAGGUGGUGCAUGGUUGUCGUCAGCUCGUGUCGUGAGAUGUUGGGUUAAGUCCCGCAACGAGCGCAACCCAUAUGGUCAGUUACUACGCAAGAGGACUCUGGCCAGACUGCCGUUGACAAAACGGAGGAAGGUGGGGAUGACGUCAAAUCAUCAUGCCCUUUAUGACUUGGGCUACACACGUACUACAAUGGCGUUAAACAAAGAGAAGCAAGACCGCGAGGUGGAGCAAAACUCAGAAACAACGUCCCAGUUCGGACUGCAGGCUGCAACUCGCCUGCACGAAGUCGGAAUUGCUAGUAAUCGCAGAUCAGCAUGCUGCGGUGAAUACGUUCCCGGGCCUUGUACACACCGCCCGUCACACCAUGAGAGCCGGGGGGACCCGAAGUCGGUAGUCUAA